AUGUAUCACAUUAACCAUAUUCAAAAGUUAAGUGGUGGUUUACCUUAUGCUCGGUUGAUCUCUAAAAUUCUGCAACAUUGUGAUAUUGAUCUGAAAAGAGAACCUAGAGAGGACAUGGAUGUGAAGGAUUUUAAAAAUAAUGACAAAUCUGCUUUGAGGAAUACCAGCAUUGUUUUGGACCAAGAUAGAAAAUUUCAGUUUCGGGAUGCUUAUCGUCCUCCUCUAAUUCUGGCUGGAAGAUAUUCUCAUGAAAUAACUUACAACAAAAUUUGCUCCAUUGAAUCAACUAUGAUGUGUCAUCACCAAGAGAACAAAUUUGAAUUCACCUCUUUGAAAAUAAUGAUGAGAACUCUUCUUAAGCAAACCCGAAAGAAAUAA